rnacentral:rRNA from 1 species
CCUACGGGAGGCAGCAGUGGGGAAUAUUGCACAAUGGGCGCAAGCCUGAUGCAGCGACGCCGCGUGAGCGAUGAAGGCCUUCGGGUCGUAAAGCUCUUUUGUCAGGGAAGAAACGGUGAGGGCUAAUAUCCCUUGCUAAUGACGGUACCUGAAGAAUAAGCACCGGCUAACUACGUGCCAGCAGCCGCGGUAAUACGUAGGGGGGGAGCGUUGUCCUGAAUUACUGGGCAUAAAGGGUGCGUAGGCGGUCAUGUAAGUCAGAUGUGAAAGCCCUCGGCUUAACCGAGGUAAUCAUUUGAAACUGUCUUACUAGAGUGCAGGAGAGGAAGGCGGAAUUCCUAGUGUAGCGGUGAAAUGCGUAGAUAUUAGGAAGAACACCAGUGGCGAAGGCGGCUUUCUGGACUGUAACUGACGCUGAGGCACGAAAGCGUGGGGAGCGAACAGGAUUAGAUACCCUUGUAGUC